GUUUGACCCUUGAGCAGAGGUUGCCCUUGGUGAAUUCGCUUUAUUUAUGUUGAAUCACACAAAGGCAACUUUUGUUUGAGUAUCAAAU
ensembl:miRNA